GCGCCUGUAGUCUAGUGGUAGGACCACAGUCAUGAGCUGUUGACCUGGGUUCGAAUCCCAGCGGGCGCA
rnacentral:tRNA from 1 species